GCUUCUUGGUGGCUGCAGCAGCAGCAUUAGCAUUUCAUGCCCAUCUCUGUUGUCCACGCUGGUAGCCGUGGCUCGCGCCAGUCUCUGGAGCUGCUUUAGGCAGUGCUCUGAAUCCUCUCUCCUCAUGCACUGUGAAACAAUGGUCUCUUUCCUCUUAGGCAGGUCAAGACUUUUUCCCAGACUCCCUCCCGGCUAGCUGUGGUGCACUAGCCCCCUUCAGGCUGUGUUCACGCAGCCAACCCCAGUCCUCUCCCUGGGAUCUGACGUCUGAAGCCCGAGCCUCAGCUCCCAGCCCCUGUCCACCCCAGCGGGUGAGCAGACAAGCGUCUCAGUCUGUGUGAAAUUAGAAAAAUAUUAAAAUGUGGAAAGAAGAAAAUAAACUGCAAUCUUAGCCUUGCCACUCAAGUCGAUGUCCACUCUCUGCACAAGGAAGCAGACACCUUAGCCUGGAUGAAAGGCUGUCUGCACUGUGCUCCUGUGCUGUGGAGCCGACGUCAUUCCACACCCUCCACACGGGGACCGAGAAGUUGGCUUGUCUUCACUCCCAGCACUUACUCACAUGCUGUUCCUUACGACUUCUGAGACUUUCGCAAGCCCUACUCCUUCCUGGAAUUCCCAGACUUCAAACUUCCAAAACCUGCUUCAAGUUCCGCCUCCAAGUCUCCUCCCAGAAGCCUAGCCUUCCCCAACUUCUGCACUCUGACGCCCCGAGGAACGGGACUGCUCCAACUACACCAACUCUGACCUACAAGCUGCCAUUUGCACAUGAGACUGUCGUGUCAUAUUAGCCUUGACUCUCCAAAUUGCUAACAAAUUCCUUGAAGGCCAAAACUAUGCCUGAAUGACUUCCUUGUGAGCCCCAAACCAAGCCACUUACCCCCAGGCACAGAGUAGGUGCUCAAAAAGCCCCUCACUGGAUAAGCGGAUGUGAAUCAGCGCCAUGACAG